AUUGAACGCUGGCGGCAUGCUUUACACAUGCAAGUCGAACGGCAGCGCGGGCUUCGGCCUGGCGGCGAGUGGCGAACGGGUGAGUAAUGCAUCGGAACGUGCCCAGUAGUGGGGGAUAGCCCGGCGAAAGCCGGAUUAAUACCGCAUACGACCUGAGGGUGAAAGCGGGGGACCGAAAGGCCUCGCGCUAUUGGAGCGGCCGAUGUCGGAUUAGCUCGUUGGUGGGGUAAAGGCUUACCAAGGCGACGAUCCGUAGCUGGUCUGAGAGGACGACCAGCCACACUGGGACUGAGACACGGCCCAGACUCCUACGGGAGGCAGCAGUGGGGAAUUUUGGACAAUGGGGGCAACCCUGAUCCAGCCAUGCCGCGUGCGGGAAGAAGGCCUUCGGGUUGUAAACCGCUUUUGUUCGGGAAGAAAUCCUCUGGGCUAAUACCCCGGGGGGAUGACGGUACCGGAAGAAUAAGCACCGGCUAACUACGUG
rnacentral:rRNA from 1 species